rnacentral:rRNA from 1 species
UGCGAAAACAACCAGGAUGUUGGCUUAGAAGCAGCCACUCAUUAAAAGAGUGCGUAAUAGCUCACUGGUCGAGUGACCCUGCGCGGAAAAUAUAACGGGGCUAAGCAUGUAACCGAAGCUUGGGAUGCAGAAAUGCGUGGUAGGGGAGCGUCGAAUACGGGGUGAAGUCAGAGCGGAAGCACUGGUGGACUGUAUUCGAGUGAGAAUGCCGGAAUGAGUAGCGAGAAUUAUGUGGGAAUCAUAAUGGCCGAAAAUCUAAGGUUUCUUGGGGAAGGUUCGUCCGCCCAAGGUAAGCCGGGAGCUAAGGCGAGGCCGAGAGGCGUAGUCGAUGCACAUACGGUAGAAAUUCCGUAACCACCGAAACUUAAGUUAGAGGGACACUUAGAGAUAGCGGAACCCGGGCGUUGGUUGACCCGGGCGUAAGGGACUGAAAAAUAGUAGGGAAGUCCGCGAUGCUCUGAGGCGAGAAAAGCUCUGAUGGAUGCUAAGGUGCCCGUACCGCAAACCGACACAGGUAGAUGAGGAGAGAAUCCUAAGGCCAACGGGAGAAGGGUUGUCAAGGAACUCGGCAAGUUAACCCCGUAACUUCGGAAUAAGGGGAGCCUCGCAAGAGGCCGCAGUGAAUAGGCCCAAGCAACUGUUUACCAAAAACACAGGUCUAUGCUAAAUCGAAAGAUGACGUAUAUGGGCUGACGCCUGCCCGGUGCUGGAAGGUUAAGAGGAGGGCUUAGCGCAAGCGAAGGUCUGAAUUGAAGCCCCAGUAAACGGCGGCCGUAACUAUAACGGUCCUAAGGUAGCGAAAUUCCUUGUCAGGUAAGUUCUGACCCGCACGAAUGGCGUAACGAUUUGGGCGCUGUCUCAACAGCCCACCCGGCGAAAUUGUUGUACUGGUGAAGAUGCCAGUUACCCGCAACUAGACGGAAAGACCCCAUGGAGCUUUACUGUAGCUUAAUACUGAAGAUCGGUAAUGCAUGUACAGGAUAGGUGGGAGACUUGGAAGCCAGGGCGUCAGCUUUGGUGGAGUCGUCCUUGGGAUACCACUCUUGUAUUGCUGGUUUUCUAACCUGCGGCCCUGAAUCGGGUCGGGGGACACUGUUAGGUGGGCAGUUUGACUGGGGCGGUCGCCUCCAAAAGAGUAACGGAGGCGCUCAAAGGUUCGUUCAGCACGGACGGAAAUCGUGCAUUGAGUGUAAACGCAUAAACGAGCCUAACUGCGAGACCGACGGGUCGAGCAGUAACGAAAGUUGGAGUUAGUGAUCCGGUGGUAUGUGAGUGGAAAUGCCAUCGCUCAACGGAUAAAAGCUACCCUGGGGAUAACAGGCUGAUCUCCCCCAAGCGUCCACAGCGACGGGGAGGUUUGGCACCUCGAUGUCGGCUCGUCACAUCCUGGGGCUGAAUUCGGUCCCAAGGGUUCGGCUGUUCGCCGAUUAAAGUGGCACGCGAGCUGGGUUCAGA